GAUGAACGCUGGCGGCGUGCUUAACACAUGCAAGUCGAACGGACGGAUUGGAGCUUGCUCCAUGAAGUUAGUGGCGGACGGGUGAGUAACGCGUUGGUAACCUGCCCUAUGCAGGGGAUAACGUUUGGAAACGAACGCUAAUACCGCAUAAUCUAGUUGGUUCGCAUGAACUGAUUAGCAAAGAUUUUAUCGGCAUAGGAUGGACCCGCGUUAGAUUAGCUAGUUGGUGAGAUAACAGCCCACCAAGGCAACGAUCUAUAGCCGGCCUGAGAGGGUGAACGGCCACACUGGGACUGAGACACGGCCCAGACUCCUACGGGAGGCAGCAGUGGGGAAUAUUGCACAAUGGGCGCAAGCCUGAUGCAGCGACGCCGCGUGAAGGAUGAAGGUCUUCGGAUCGUAAACUUCUAUCAGCAGGGAAGAAACCAUGACGGUACCUGACUAAGAAGCCCCGGCUAACUACGUGCCAGCAGCCGCCGUAAUAC
rnacentral:rRNA from 1 species